UACGUAGGGGGCAAGCGUUAUCCGGAUUUACUGGGUGUAAAGGGAGCGUAGGUGGCAUGGUAAGCCAGAAGUGAAAACCCGGGGCUCAACCCCGCGGAUUGCUUUUGGAACUAUCAGGCUGGAGUGCUGGAGGGGUAAGCGGAAUUCCUAGUGUAGCGGUGAAAUGCGUAGAUAUUAGGAGGAACACCGGUGGCGAAGGCGGCUUACUGGACAGAGACUGACACUGAGGCUCGAAAGCGUGGGGAGCAAACAGG
rnacentral:rRNA from 1 species